AAUAAGUGCAGUUUUACAUUAUUCACGUUCAACGUUUGACCGUUUAUCUUAUUUGAAAAUUUUUUAUUAUUAAUAUUUUUAUUGCUAUUAGAUGAUAAAACAUAAAUAGUGCUUUAUGUGUGACUAAAUAUUUUCAAAUUUUUCGCAAAUUUUUGAAAUAAGACAGAUGGUCAAACGUUGGGUACGGAUAUCCACGACUGUAAUUGUU
rnacentral:pre_miRNA from 1 species